UGUGUACUGAGGAAAGCUGCAGACCUCGAGUGGAACUGGCCCUCGAGAAAGGCCCCAUGUGACACAGAAGGCUGACCUAUAAAGGCAGGGUUACACAAAUGUUGUAGAGACAGAUGCUGCUGCUAUGUUUCCCAGAUGCUGGAUGAGGAGCUAGAAGGGGGAAUAAUGAAACCAUUACACUCAUCUAAUGUUCGUCUUUGUUGCAAGCUUUUGAUAAAUAAAGCCCUGCUCUAAAAGAGACUCUACACAUUGGAAAGGAACAACUUUCACCUGCCCAGACAGUCCACAAGAGUGAAUCCAAUGAACUUCUCAGUCAGGCUGCGACGCUAUUUUCACUGUGGAGCUAGGGAAACCAAAUAAUAACAAACUAAAGGGAUUUGUUCAAGGUCUAUGGGAGAUGCAGGAAUUGGGGGUGUCAAAAUAGCUUGUGCUAAUUAUCAUUUGACUAUUCUCUUCUUCAUUUGCAUUUUCUUCAACAGUGUGUUUUUUUCUCUGAAGUAGAAAAAAGUGAUUCUGAAAACCUUUUUCCAAAUAAAGCAAGCUUUGGGUA